UUAUGCAUCGAGAGUGUCUACCUAUACUUCAGUACCCGGAGAGGCUUUGAGUCUGCUUUUCCACACACUAUUUUAACUAUUUCCGUAGAGCAUGGCAGAUCACUGUGCUGUCGCAGGACUUCCGUCUUUGUUGACAAUUUUGUCAGCGUGUAAAUACGUGUCCGGCUGUAAAGCGAAUUUCUUUUGUGUUGGCGCAUACAAAAAGUGCGAAAAAAAUUCUGACUGCUGUGACGGAACCUGCCUGACGGCUAUGCGCAGACCAUUCUGCAAGAGCUUUGAUGCCCCAACCAGCCACUGGGAGCCGCCCAUCAUCUAUCGGCCGGACAACUACACCUUGUACACGCCCUCGUAUGUGCAAGAAUAAACUGCCCAAAACAGAACCAGAGAACUCGAAGAACGUGGGAGCAUCGUUGGGUUGGCCCAAUAAAAGCGAAGCAAACUGACCAACUUGACGCUGUAUUAAGGUUCGACUGUGGUUGUUCUGCUCGUUUUUCUGGACAGUAGGAGAUAUAUAUCAGUACUACCCUUCAGGGCAACUUGGUUGCCUCCUAGGGGUGAAAUAAUUAACAACAACGAAUAAAGUUUACUUCAAUGGC